rnacentral:rRNA from 1 species
GACGAACGCUGGCGGCGUGCUUAACACAUGCAAGUCGAACGGAAAGGCCUUUUCGGAGGUACUCGAGUGGCGAACGGGUGAGUAACACGUGGGUGAUCUGCCCUGCACUCUGGGAUAAGCCUGGGAAACUGGGUCUAAUACCGGAUAGGACCGCACUUUAGUGUGUGUGGUGGAAAGUUUUUUCGGUGUAGGAUGAGCCCGCGGCCUAUCAGCUUGUUGGUGGGGUAAUGGCCUACCAAGGCGGCGACGGGUAGCCGGACUGAGAGGUUGGUCGGCCACAUUGGGACUGAGAUACGGCCCAGACUCCUACGGGAGGAAGCAGUGGGGAAUAUUGCACAAUGGGCGCAAGCCUGAUGCAGCGACGCCGCGUGGGGGAGGACGGCCUUCGGGUUGGAAACUCCUUUCGCCAGGGACGAAGCGUUUUGUGACGGUACCUGGAGAAGAAGCACCGGCUAACUACGUG